GAUCAUGGCUCAGGAUGAACGCUAGCUACAGGCUUAACACAUGCAAGUCGAGGGGCAGCAUUAGAUUAGCUUGCUAAUUAGAUGGCGACCGGCGCACGGGUGAGUAACGCGUAUCCAACUUCCCCCUGCUCAGGGAUAGCCCGGUGAAAACCGGAUUAAGACCUGAUAGUUUCACUAGAUGGCAUCUGACGGUGAAUAAAGGUUUCGGCAAGGGAUGGGGAUGCGUCUGAUUAGCUUGUUGGCGGGUAACGGCCACCAAGGCGACGAUCAGUAGGGGUUCUGAGAGGAAGGUCCCCCACAUUGGAACUGAGACACGGUCCAAACUCCUACGGGAGGCAGCAGUGAGGAAUACUGGUCAAUGGGCGGAAGCCUGAACCAGCCAAGUAGCGUGCCAGGAUGACGGCCCUAUGGGUUGUAAACUGCUUUUGUGCGGGAAUAAAGUUAGGGACGCGUCCCUGUUUGCAUGUACCGCAAGAAUAAGGACCGGCUAAUUCCGUGCCAGCAGCCGC
rnacentral:rRNA from 1 species